GGCCAUGUUGGUUAACAGAUCCUCAUCUGCUGGACGUCUGGCGAUGAUCUUUAUCGGUUGUCGUCAGUUGCCAGCACGUUUACUUUGAGAAAAUUAGAGUGCUAAAAGCAGGCUCACGCCUAUAUAUAUUGCAUGGAAUAAUGAAAUAAGAUCUCGAUUUUAUUUCGUUGGUUUUAGAAAUUGAGAUAAUGAUUAAUAGGAUCAGAGGGGGCGUACGUACUGUGGUGUGAGAGGUGAAAUUCUUGGAUCGCCACAGGACGAACAGCAGCGAAGGCGUUCGCCAAGAAUGUUUUCAUUAAUCAAGAACGAAAGUUUGAGGUUCGAAGACGAUUAGAUACCGUCCUAGUUCAAACCAUAAACGUUGCCAACUGUCUUUUAGAUGCGGUUAUUUAUAUGACUCAUCUGGCGGAUCUCGAGAAAUCUAAGUUUUUAGGUUCCGGGGGAAGUAUGGUUGCAAAGCUGAAACUUAAAAGAAUUGACGGAAGGACACACAAGAAGUGGAGCCUGUGGCCUAAUUUGACUCAACACGGGAAACCUUUACUCGGCCAGGACACUUUUAGGAUUGACAGAUUGAGAGCUCUUUCUUGAUUAGGUGGGUGGUGGUGCAUGGUCGUUCGUAGUUCGUGGAGCGAUUUGUCUGAUUAAUUUCGAUAACGAACGAGACUCCGGCUUACUAAAUAGUCUAAAGUUCGAAGGGACUUUUCAAGACUUCUUAGCAGGAUAAGUGG
rnacentral:rRNA from 1 species